rnacentral:lncRNA from 1 species
UUUGGGCGACCUCAGCAAAGGCACCAACCCCAGCUGGGCCCUGGGGAAUGCUCUGGUCUUGGAGGGUCCUGAGGCCUGAAGAGCUCAGGAAGCCACAGGCAGCACAGUCAGCUCUCCAGGCCUGGGAUGCUACCUGUCUUCGAGCCACACUCCUGAGGAUGACAAAGAGCCCGAGGGACCUGCCUGCCAGGCACUAGGCCUGUCACGCCACGUGCCCCAGUUCAAGCUGAUGCCUGAGCUCUAAUCCCUUUCCGUCAGCCUCCCAUUCGGCUGAUGAGGAGCCUGAGGCACAAACAGGAUACGAGACUUGGACAACAUCACAGCUCAUGGCUUGCAUGAAAAGGAGCGAACCUUUCUCACUGGCUCCUGAGCACUUGGGGAGGUGCUGGUGACACUGGCGCCAACAUUCUGACGGGGGUGGGUGCGAGGAAGACAUACUGCAGGG